rnacentral:rRNA from 1 species
GUGUCAGCCGCCGCGGUAAUACGAAGGGUGCAAACGUUGCUCGGAAUCAUUGGGCGUAAAGCGCACGUAGGCGGCCUUGCAAGUCGGAUGUGAAAUCCCACGGCUCAACCGUGGACGUGCAUCCGAAACUGCUCGGCUCGAGUAUGGAAGAGGGUCGCGGAAUUCCCGGUGUAGAGGUGAAAUUCGUAGAUAUCGGGAGGAACACCAGUGGCGAAGGCGGCGACCUGGGCCAAUACUGACGCUGAGGUGCGAAAGCGUGGGGAGCAAACAGGAUUAGAAACCCCGGUAGUCC